UGGGCAGCUGACCCUGUAGCUGCUAAGGGGCGUAGUGAUGUUUCCACCCCUAAGCUGUUACAUCGUCUGUUGUUCACC
rnacentral:pre_miRNA from 1 species